GAUGAACGCUGGCGGCGUGCCUAAUACAUGCAAGUCGAGCGAACGGACGAGAAGCUUGCUUCUCUGAUGUUAGCGGCGGACGGGUGAGUAACACGUGGAUAACCUACCUAUAAGACUGGGAUAACUUCGGGAAACCGGAGCUAAUACCGGAUAAUAUUUUGAACCGCAUGGUUCAAAAGUGAAAGACGGUCUUGCUGUCACUUAUAGAUGGAUCCGCGCUGCAUUAGCUAGUUGGUAAGGUAACGGCUUACCAAGGCUACGAUGCAUAGCCGACCUGAGAGGGUGAUCGGCCACACUGGAACUGAGACACGGUCCAGACUCCUACGGGAGGCAGCAGUAGGGAAUCUUCCGCAAUGGGCGAAAGCCUGACGGAGCAACGCCGCGUGAGUGAUGAAGGUCUUCGGAUCGUAAAACUCUGAUAUUAGGGAAGAACAUAUGUGUAAGUAACUGUGCACAUCUUGACGGUACCUAAUCAGAAAGCCACGGCUAACUACGUG
rnacentral:rRNA from 1 species